rnacentral:snRNA from 1 species
AGCUUUGCACAGUGUCAGUAUCGUAGCCAAUGAGGUUUAUCCGAGGUACCAUUACUGCAAAUUGAAAAAGAAUGUUA